UGAAAGAGAGGGGGAAGGCAAGCGAAGCCAAAUCGAGCGGCGACUGGAAUCGUUCUCACGGGAACAAAAGGAUGGAGGGAAAAGGAGAGGCGAAAAGUAACAGAAGGGAGCCCAUCAACAGGCGGCACGGCUCCACUGCCUUCUUCGUGGUGCUGGAUUGCCUCUUCCUCCUCAUCUUCUUCUGCUUCCUCUGCUACUUCCUCCUCAAGAUCUGGCCCGGAUCAAAGCCCUAACCCCAACGAAAGGACCCGCAUUUUGUUGAUCCUGAAACCAAUUUAUUCUAUUCUAUUCAUUCUAACGUUGGUAAUCUCAUUUUAUCCCCGAUGUUUUUGUUUCAAGUAUUAAAUUCGUACCACGGCAAUCAUCUUACGAUCUGUUCCAGAAAAAAAUUGCUUUUAAUUUCCCUUUUAUUGUUUGUUGGUUUGAAGCCGUUGUUGCUUUGAAAUCUGGCUGCCAGUUUAUACGAUAUGAUUUUUAUUGCAGAAGAUUGCUUGGAUGCAUUGUUCAUAUUACUGCUAAUUUCUGUGGGACUGUGGCUGUUUGGUUCACCAACUGUUUAUGUGAAAUAAUUCUUCAUCCAUCUUUGCCAUGAUAUGAAAAUGAGUGAAAGGAAUUAUAUGAAGAUCUAUGCUUUUCGUAUUUGCUCAUCUUCAUGUUAAACUUGACUUAAUCCCUCAUGCAAAUCUUCUUGAAUCAAGAGGAAGGUUACGUGACUUUUGAUCUAGUGUGAGGGAGAUAAAAGCAUCCGUAUCAUAUGACAUCAUUGGGAACUUAAGCAUGUAGUUCUUGAUUCGGGAUAAUCUGCUGUGUCAUUUUUGAAACUUAGGCAUCACAAUUGGAUCUGAUUGUAAGAUGUUAUUUUGACUAUUGUUUUCUACAAGGAAAAGAAAGGACAAUGCUAGGGUACAUAGAGUUGAAAUUUCAUCCUGUCAUUCCUGAUGAAUGUGGUAUUAAGAUGAAGUUAUUUCUCCUUCAAAAGUGAGGACCAAAGGAUGAGGGCACUUCACUGCAAUUGAUAUUACCAGGAGCUUUUAACAACUGCACCUAAUAUAAUGAUUUUGCAUUCGAAUGAUUGGAUUAUUUUCUAGAUGAGUGGUUCGCAUCAGAUGAUUCACCAUCUGAUUCACAGGAGGAAAAAAGAAUUGUUACUGCCCUCUUUCUCUAUCAUGAUCGAUAUGUUUCAGCAAUAUGGUUUUAUUAGGAAGAUAAGUUUGAAUGUGAAUAUUUGAGCUUUUCACCAAGUGAAAAGUUGGAGCUAUAAUUUUGAGACAAGUAUAUAGAACACUAGUAAGUGAACAUGCUGCUGGUCGCAAUUUGGUGUUUUAUAAAGAGUUUUAAGGCUUCGAAUAGAUGGGAACAUCGACAUAUCAAAUGUUAGAAGCUGUAGUUAUUGAUUUGGUUCUGGUUGCAAGAUGGUUACUAUUACAACCACACAUCUAAUUCUUGCCUGUAGCAUCAAAUUCAUCCAAGACAUGAAUAUGGAGGUUUUGUUUCUUAAGAGUCAAGUUGCAAAUAACUGAUGAUGUUGCUUCAGUUUUCAACUUGUGAGACUUUCAUUCAAGUUCAUGUCUUUUCCAGCAUGUUCAUGAUAGCUUUUGUUGGCAUCAUCAACAUACCUUGGCCAAUCCAGCUGAAUGUACUGGUAUUUAUACCAUCAAUAUAAAUAAUUGUCAUGGUAUAAAUUGGAUGUAUUGGUAAUAAAUUUGAGGUAAAAAAUUUGAAUACCUUGGCCACUGAGGGUGGGUGCUCCUACUUCAAGAGGAGCACAUGCACCAACAGGCCCCAACUACACCCUCUCAGUUGGGCAAGGCUGUGAGUCUUGGACAUGCCCACAUACCCAUGCCUAGGUUUUCCCCCUCUCAGGCAUUCAUGUCUUCUGCUUGGUAAAUCUUGAGGCCCUCCUAAAUAGCAGUCAAAUCCUGCUUAAUGGCAAGUUUGCAGCUGUUGAGCUGAGAGGCCUGGGGUCAUGAAUUAGACCUUUGGAAUGGGAAGAGUAAUCCAAGGAGAAACUCAGAUGAUUGUUCUCUUUUGAGUGAUAAGCUUCACUGUAUGGAAAAAGUUCCCUCAGAACAUGAACUUUCUCUUCUGAAGUUAAGAAAGGGACCUGAGUUGUUGACCAAAUCAACCAAAGCUAAGGAGCAGAGUCUUUGGUGCGGGGAAGAUGCUCUGCAGUAGGGACACUGGGCCACCAUCAUGUUCUUAGUUUCAACACAUCUGGCAGUAAGUUGAAUGCUAGAGAACUUUACAGCUGCUAAAGAUGAAAUGGAGUGCUUGAAUCCAUUUGUAGGACUGCUUACGCAGAGGAAUACGGACAUUGGUUGAUGCCUUUAGAAUAUAAAGAUAUGAAUGAAGUUGCAUCAAAGCAUAUGCUGUAAAAGCAGCAUGAUCUGAUCAUGUAACUUAUGACCAGAGAAUUAAGAUCUUAAUACCAAAUUGUAGUGCUUUGUUUUCUGGCUCAACAGAGAAGUGCAAUAAAAGAAACGAUGACAAAGAAUAAUACUACUCUGUCCGUCCAUAAAUUUUUGGCUCAUUCAUCUGCAAUUGCUAAAAAAGAAUUAACUUUUUUCUUUGUUUUGUUGGUUGUCAAGUGUAGAAGAUCAAGAAUUCAGAUGCUGGAGUAACAAUCUGCAGUCUGCAGGUCUUGUCAUUUAAAUCAUGGAUUGAAAAUAAGACAUUAUAUGUGGGUGACGCAAAAUAGAAUGCCAUUUCAUGUGCUCAAUCCAAAUUAUCCCGAGCAAGGUUGACUCACGUUGCAGGACUCGAAAGUUCAUUAGGUUUAGGAUUUACCGUCUCCGUCGUCGCUCGACCAUCCGCAGAGACCGAGGCGCCGGCGGUCGAAGCACCGGAGGUGAAGAGUUGAAGGCAGCUGUUCUUGCCGUCAUUGCAGCAGAGGAGGUCUUAAUCUGGGCAGGAGCCAAACUGUCCACUUCAAGUUCCUCCGCGCCCGGGACUUCAAGGUGAAGGAAACCAUGACCAUGCUCAAGAACGCUCUGCUCUGGAGGAAGGAGUUCGGCGUCGGGAGCCUACUUCUCGGGGUCCCCGAGCUCAGCGACGACGUCGCUCUUGGCCACCGCCGCCUCCUGCGCGGCGACCUUCUCAUCUCCGGCCUCCGCCGCGGACUCGGCGGCCAGCGGCUCUCACAAAGCUGGCUUCUUUGUUGUUUUCUGCGCCUAACGGACAGGAUCGGUCGGCGGAAGCCGUUCGUCGAUUCUUUCUCCGUCGCCGCCGGCUCCGUUUCGGCGGGGUCCCCUUCUGGUGUGUCGGGUUUGGUGUCCAAGGCCAUGGUCUUGGGUUGGGUCAGGUGAGAGAGAGAGAGAGACGCCCAGCCCAUCCUCUCGUAAUCCCACGUUAAGCACGAGAGUCGCACGUGUCCUUCCCCGACCCCUAAUUCCUUCAAACGGUUCUCUCGACCUCCACUCCCCGCCGGAGUCGCCGCCGCUCCUCCGCCGGUGUGCCACUACGCUGGAGGACAUAGCGAACCCGAUGAGCGCCGGAGCUCCGCUGGGUUCCGCCUUCCCGCGUCGGCAUCAAACCUAAGAGAAAGCCCGCACUGGUCUUGGUCCUCUCUACCUUUCUCACUUUCUAAUUUCUUCUCCCAUGAUAUUCUUCUCUUUUUCUAGUUCGUGUUCUUUGAUUUGGUAUAGACGAUAUAUAUGAAGACACUCGGGAGUUCCCACAACAAGUUUUCUUCCCGCUGGAGCAGAAAUCCUUGUUGCAGGUUCUGUCGUUGUAUUUAUUAUAUGGCUUUACGCUUUGUUACAUUGAUCUUUCCAAAUGCCACUUGCUUCUCCUUUGAUCUAGAAAAUAUCAAUCACUUGAGAAAAAAAGAGGGUUAUAUUUGUAGCUUCCAACUUGUUGUGGAUGUGGCAGGAAAAUAUGAUGUGUUGCCAUUUGCAUA